rnacentral:rRNA from 1 species
GAUGAACGCUAGCGACAGGCCUAACACAUGCAAGUCGAGGGGCAGCACAAGGAGCAAUCUGAGGUGGCGACCGGCGCACGGGUGAGUAACACGUAUGCAACCUGCCUGUAAGCGGGGGAUAACCCGUUGAAAGACGGACUAAUACCGCAUAAUACUGGAGAUCUGCAUGGAUAUUCAGUUAAACAUUUAUGGCUUACAGAUGGGCAUGCGCAUGAUUAGAUAGUUGGAGAGGUAACGGCUCCCCAAGUCAACGAUCAUUAGGGGUUCUGAGAGGAAGGUCCCCCACACUGGUACUGAGACACGGACCAGACUCCUACGGGAGGCAGCAGUGAGGAAUAUUGGUCAAUGGACGCAAGUCUGAACCAGCCACGUCGCGUGAAGGAAGACGGCCCUACGGGUUGUAAACUUCUUUUGUAAGGGAAUAAAGUGUAGUACGCGUACUAUUUUGCAUGUACCUUACGAAUAAGGAUCGGCUAACUCCGUGCCAGCAGCCG